UACGUAGGGGGCAAGCGUUGUCCGGAUUUAUUGGCGUAAAGAGCGUGUAGGCGGCCAGACAGGUCCGUUGUGAAAACUCGAGGCUCAACCUCGAGAUGUCGAAUGGAAACCGUCUGGCUAGAGUCCGGAAGAGGAGUGUGGAAGUUCCUGGUGUAGCGGUGAAAUGCGCAGAUAUCAGGAAGAACACCUAUGGCGAAGGCAGCACUCUGGGACGGUACUGACGCUGAGACGCGAAAGCGUGGGGAGCGAACAGG
rnacentral:rRNA from 1 species